UUCGCAAUGCCCGAAAGGGUGACGAAGCGACGCCGCGUGCGGGAAGAAGGCCUUCGGGUUGUAAACCGCUGUCGGGAGUUAGGAAAUGCAAGGAUGUUAAUAGCGUCUUUGCUUGACUAAGGCUCCGGAGGAAGCCACGGCUAACUCUGUGCCAGCAGCCGCGGUAAUACAGAGGCGGCAAGCGUUGUUCGGAAUUAUUGGGCGUAAAGAGCACGUAGGCGGCCGUGUAAGUCGGUUGUGAAAGCCUUCCGCUCAACGGGAGAACGGCAUCCGAUACUGCAUGGCUCGAGUGCGGGAGGGGAGAGUGGAACUUCUGGCGGAGCGGUGAAAUGCGUAGAUAUCAGAAGGAACACCGGCGGCGAAGGCGACUCUCUGGCCCGUAACUGACGCUGAGUGUGCGAAAGCUAGGGGAGCAAACGGGAUUAGAUACCCCGGUAGUCCUAGCCGUAAACGAUGGGCACUAAGUAGAGGGGUUUU
rnacentral:rRNA from 1 species